rnacentral:rRNA from 1 species
UGUGGAUGAGCCUGCGGCCAUCAGCUAGUUGGCGGUGUAACGGACCACCAAGGCAAAGACGGGUAGCUGGUCUGAGAGGAUGAUCAGCCACACUGGAACUGAGACACGGUCCAGACUCCUACGGGGAGGCAGCAGUGGGGAAUUUUGCGCAAUGGACGAAAGUCUGACGCAGCGACGCCGCGUGGGUGAUGAAGGCCCUCGGGUUGUAAAGCCCUGUGGGGAGGGAAGAAUAAGGGUACGUAAAUAGCGUAUCUGAUGACGGUACCUCCUUAGCAAGCACCGGCUAACUCUGUGCCAGCAGCCGCGGUAAGACAGAGGGUGCAAACGUUGUUCGGAAUUACUGGGCGUAAAGCGCGUGUAGGCGGCUAAGCAAGUCGGGUGUGAAAGCCCUUUGGCUCAACUGAGGAAGAGCACUCGAAACUGCGUAGCUUGAGUUCUGGAGAGGAUGGUGGAAUUCUCGGUGUAGAGGUGAAAUUCGUAGAUAUCGAGAGGAACACCAGUGGCGAAGGC